rnacentral:rRNA from 1 species
CCUACGGGAGGCAGCAGUGGGGAAUAUUGCACAAUGGGGGAAACCCUGAUGCAGCGACGCCGCGUGAGUGAAGAAGUAUUUCGGUAUGUAAAGCUCUAUCAGCAGGGAAGAAAAUGACGGUACCUGAUUAAGAAGCCCCUGCUAACUACGUGCCAGCAGCCGCGGUAAUACGUAGGGGGCAAGCGUUAUCCGGAUUUACUGGGUGUAAAGGGAGCGUAGCCGGGAGAACAAGUCUGGGGUGAAAUGCCGGGGCUUAACCCCAGAACUGCUUUGGAAACUGUGCAGCUGGAGUGCAGGAGAGGUGAGUGGAAUUCCUAGUGUAGCGGUGAAAUGCGUAGAUAUUAGGAAGAACACCAGUGGCGAAGGCGGCUUACUGGACUGUAACUGACGUUGAGGCUCGAAAGCGUGGGGAGCAAACAGGAUUAGAUACCCCUGUAGUC